rnacentral:rRNA from 1 species
CACGUAGGGGGCGAGCGUUGUCCGGAUUUAUUGGGCGUAAAGAGCUCGUAGGCGGUUCCGUCAGUCGGGUGUGAAAACUCUGGGCUCAACCCAGAGACGCCACCCGAUACUGCGGUGACUAGAGUCCGGUAGGGGAGUGCGGAAUUCCUGGUGUAGCGGUGAAAUGCGCAGAUAUCAGGAGGAACACCAACGGCGAAGGCAGCACUCUGGGCCGGUACUGACGCUGAGGAGCGAAAGCGUGGGGAGCGAACAGGAUUAGAUACCCUGGUAGUCCACGCCGUAAACGUUGGGCACUAGGUGUGGGACCUCCAACGGGUUCCGUGCCGCAGCUAACGCAUUAAGUGCCCCGCCUGGGGAGUACGGCCGCAAGGCUA